UGAGGAGGAGGUGGAUACGGAGGUGGAUCAUCUAGAGGAGGAGGUGGAUCUUCUGGCGGAGGCUACUCAGCACCAUCUGUAAGCACUGGAUAUUCUGCACCAUCUGGAGGUGGAGGAGGUGGGAGGUGGAGGUGGAUAUGGAGGUGGAUCAUCUAGUGGAGGAGGU